GCCUAGCCGUAAAAUAUUUAUUUACACCUUUAACCGCCAGGGGAUUACGAGCCCAAGCUUAAAACCCAAAGGACUUGACGGUGUCCCACCCACCUAGAGGAGCCUGUUCUAUAAUCGAUUCUCCCCGUUAUACCUCACCACUUCUAGCUUCUCAGCCUGUAUACCUCCGUCGUAAGCUUACCCUAUGAACGCCUUUUAGUGAGCAAAAAGAUUUUACAUAAAUACGUCAGGUCAAGGUGCAGCCUACGAAAUGGCAAGAAAUGGGCUACAAUUUCUAUGAGCAUAGAACACAACGAAAGACUACAUGCAACUUAGUCAUGAAGGCGGAUUUAGUAGUAAAAAGAAAAUAGAGAGUUCUUUUUAAUUAGGCGCUGGGACGCGUACACACCGCCCGUCACCCUCUUCAAACGCUUAAACUCAGUUUAUAACAAACUCAUGCACCACAGAAGAGGUAAGUCGUAACAUGGUAAGCGUACUGGAAAGUGCGCUUGGAAUAAACAAAAUGUAGCUUAACCAAAGCAUCUCGCUUACACCGAGAACAUGUCCGUGAAACCCAGAUCAUUUUGAGCCAAAAAUCUAGCUCCCCUCAACCUAAUGAAAACCCCAACAAUUCAAGUAUUAAAUAAAACAUUUUAUACAUAGAGUAUAGGCGAUAAAAAAAUGUCUAGAAGCAAUAGAGUUAGUACCGUAAGGGAAUAAUGAAAUAAUAAUGAAAAACUGCAAGCACAAAAAAGUAGAGCUACAACCUCG
rnacentral:rRNA from 1 species